UGAGCUGAGGGCCCAAAUGUGCAUUGU
rnacentral:piRNA from 1 species